ACUCUAUUAGUUUAUUUAAAAUAUGACUUUGAAGCAGUUAAGAAUAUUUGAGUA
rnacentral:tRNA from 1 species